rnacentral:rRNA from 1 species
CAGUCGCCGCGGGAAUACGAAUGGUGCAAGCGUUAAUCGGAAUUACUGGGCGUAAAGCGUGCGUAGGCGGUGAGUUAAGUCUGCUGUGAAAUCCCCGGGCUCAACCUGGGAAUGGCAGUGGAUACUGGCUCGCUAGAGUGUGUCAGAGGAUGGUGGAAUUCCCGGUGUAGCGGUGAAAUGCGUAGGGAUCGGGAGGAACAUCAGUGGCGAAGGCGGCCAUCUGGGACAACACUGACGCUGAGGCACGAAAGCGUGGGGAGCAAACAGGAUUAGAUACCCCCGUAGUCCCUGUCUCUUAUAC